GUGUGCUCUGAAAAAAAUAGGGGAACAAAGCAUCACUCUCAGUGCAGAUCUGGCCUAGCUGCAUUGCUGCCUGAGGCCUCCUAGGAAAGGCUGAACGACGUCUGCACCAAGAUCUCAUACCCUGGACAUGAGGAUUAUUUGUGGUUGCAGAGUCACUUGAAUAUGGGGCAGUUGGUUUGCAAACAACAGGAUAUUCGGUGGUGUCAUGAGUUGGGGCCCCUGAAUGUAGCGGAUGUCCCAUAGCAUUGCUGAGAGAUAGCUGUCUCCUGAGACCUACCGAGGAGCUGUGUGUCCUAAAGAAAAAAAAUCACGCAGGUAAAUGGACGUAAGGCUUAAGGCUCAGCGUGAGAAUCAUACUCUGUACAGAAGUAGUGAUUGUGUUGAUAGGAACUGGGGGAAGGGUGCAGCAAAGUAGAGUGGAUAAGCACUUCCAAUGGGACAUCUGUAAACGUCCCUGUAACUGGGAAGAGGGUGUACAGAACUCCCUAGGACUUACAGGCCUCUGUGCCUCCUCUAGCCAAUGUACUGCCACAGCAGCGAAGCCAAAGAUUUUAUGGCUUCCUGUUGCCUCUCUGGGUUGUUUCCCUCAAACCGUAACUGCAAGGCAGAGGCCUCACACGGAGCAAGGGGAGAUUCUGUACUUCAGGGAUGGAUCUUUUGUGUGCUAGCCAUUAUUUUUGGUGACACAAUUGGGCAUACUUUCAUCAUUCCCCAGUUUUGCAGCAAAAGAAUCAGAGUUGAGUUGCCUAAGACAUGGGGAGAGAUUCAUGAUGAAGUCAGUACAGCUUUGUCAGUUGUCUGAAAUUCUAAGAGGAAUAGGGUUUAACACUUAAUAGGAGAAAGUUUCCCCCAACCGCUUCAUUGAGGAACUGACAUAAAUUAAACUUCACUUAUUUAAAGUGCCCAACAUGAUAUAUUUCGAUAUAUGUAUGGGCAUUGAAACCAUCACAUUGUUGUGAUGAUGAAUGUAUCUGUGGCCCCAGUAAGUUUCCCUGUGCCCUUUUCUAUUGCUUGCAGCUCCACCCAAUUUGCCACCUCUACAUAGCCAUUAACUCUAAAUUCAUAAGUAGCCAUAAACAGAUGUUGAAGGUUGAAAAGGUAGCAAACUUCUUGGCCAACAGUCAACUGAACUUAAUAUUUGAGGUAAAAAAGGUGGACUGCAUGCAUGCAAGGGAGAGCUGCGGUUGGCAGACAGCCUCCUAGAAAGCAGCUGGAGCUGCACUUAUGUGAUCUUUUGGGGAGUCAGUCAUUCAGGAACUGGAGGACAUUCAGAAGUCUGUGCUGAAGGAUUUCUGGACUUUGAGCCGUGUUAGUGUGGUCACUACUAUUGGCCGGUUGACUUUCAGAAGCUAGGUCCUUAAGUGAGGCAGUUGAUUGAUUGUUGCCUGGGAUCCUAAGGCUGAUUGGUGGUCUUUCAGAAUGUGGGAUGAGGAGCCAUAAUCCAUCACUUAUUGGUUGAAUUUUGAAAGCUUGUACUUAUCAAUGAUUUGCUAACUGCUUACUUUCAGAGGCUUAAGUUUCACUGUUGAGGCUGUCAUUGACCUGGCGAGCCUCAGAACACAUGUACUCAUUGGAAGUUACUCUUACAAACGAUGAUUAUUUGUUCACGAUUUUGGACUGUGGCCAGUGAGUAAUCAUUUCCCUUUCCUGAAUAUGUAAAAUAAUUCCUUUAAUUCUCAGUAUCUCUUUUUGUUCUUCAAUCACCCAAACCUGAGAGAGAACUCAUAAGGCAUACUCCAAAUCUAACUGCCAGCUUUUUGGAAGGCAUUGCAAAGAGCUGAAUAUAAUAAGAUGUUUAGGGUGUACUGGCAGAGGCAGUAUCCAGAACAAAAUCAUUAAAUACAGGGCAUGUGCUCUAUGCACAGAACAGCUGGCAGUGCUGUUCCCAACAUGUCCAUGCACCUACUAUUGUGGUGGAAUCCCGGCAGGUGCUCGUGGUAUGUUUGUUAGGACACUGAAUGCGCACCACAGAACAGCUUUCUUACUCGCUUUCACCUUUCCAGCAAGUCUACAGAUUGUAUUCACCUGUCCUGUCAAGCGGUUAAUUGCCAGCGCGUUCCUAGUGAAAAAAUCGCAUUUUGGAGAACGGCCUAAUUCAUGUGGGAACUACAUUACCCAGCAGCCACUGCGAUCACCAGCAGCAGAGACGUAGCCAAUGAGAGCAGAGGGACGUCUACGUGCCCGGCGCACCACGUGAGCGGAAAAUACGCAUUUCCCCGUGGCGCUGGUGCAGUCGCUCAGCUCGUUUUCACUUCUUUGGGCCUCUGGAGUGCUGGGUCCCUUCUGACGUGACCGAAUUGAAAAGCGGGACGAGAGACUGGUGCACCGAAGCGACUGAGAAGCCUGACUGGGGACUCUGUGGUGCACUGGUUCCUGAAAUAAACAGGACCCUGUAGAGCCGUCUCAGAGCCUUUAGCACCACCUGAAAUAUUAAAUGGAUCACUCAGAAUUAAAGUGACAUGAUCCUGCUCUUCCUGCUGUUUCCACAUUCUGAAGAACCCCUCAUGACCCCUGCACUGGACUACUUCCAUCUUCUAGUCCAGUUAGAGCUGGGAGGAGAACACUGGGGACACAGACUCCAGGUUGCUGGCAGCAAGCAGAGAGGAUGAGGAGACAGCUUCUGAGCAGGAUGAAGUGCCACAAAUAAGAUUUUCAAAGGCAGUUUCCAUCUAGCUGAGGACCUGGGAACUAUCUCUGGUUGAAAACCUUGUGGGGCAGGUGUGAAACUGCCCCCUCAGUGUAAAGUGUUUAAGAGAGAUGUGCAUAAGGCUCCAUGGUCCCCGCGUCCAAGAAGUCUUUCACAUGCCAACAUGCCAGUGGGCUGGGAGCGAUCCCUCUGGUAGCUGUGGCCUCACCACAAAAGGGCACUGAGUGUGUAAAAGCAUUCAGGAACCAACCCACACUUUUCCAACACCAGCUACUCCACUGGAAAACACCUUUUAGAGCGUAGUGAAGGUGAGGUUUUACACUUUGUUCCCACUAUCACAGACAUGCCUAAUGUGACAAUGUAGAGAACAUUAUGAGUAUACAGUUUUGUAUGCUGAAGUGAAUGACACUUUUUGCCCUGUCAGUAACUAGUUUAUGUUUCGUAAGAUGUUCAUAGUAUUUAUUUGCCUACUGGUAAUGAAUGUGGUAGCUCAGUUUUUUUU